AGUACAAUGGCAAGUGGUUAAGGCGAGAGAUUUGGAUCACAGAUAUCUCUUACGGUUUCCGUGCACAGGUUCAAAUCUUGCUGGUGUCG